GCGGAUCAAACGAACGGGCAAAAUGAAGAACUUGGUAGUUUUUGUGUUUUUGGCUACGGUGCUUCUAGCUUUGAACAUGGCUGAAGCGCAAUCUGCAAAGCCUAUUUCAACGAAGAAUACACCGACGAAGCCUACACCGACGAAGCCUUCAACACAGACGAAGCCGACACCGACAAAGCCUUCAACAGCGACUAAGCCUACACCAUCCACGAAACCAACACUACCGACAAAACCUACACCAUCGAAGCCUACUUCGGCAAAACCAGUAGCAGCCAACGUUGCAGUGGCGAAAUCUGUGUCGGGUGAACCUGUACCGGCGAAGACUACAAAGCGCCAAUCGCUCAAAGCUACCAAGACAAAACCAACUCCAACGCGUAAAACCACUAAACGCACUAGCCGGCCGAGCACAUCGCCAGCAGCGUAAAUCGAAAUUGAUCUAAGCUUGGAUUGCAAAAUGUACCCUCCUCCAUCUUGAUGCUUCUAGAGCCGUUUGAUUCCAGUUGUUCAAUUAAAGUAAACGUUUUGCAGAACUCCCAACAUCCGAUUUGUCUGUGGCUAUCACACUGUACAGUAAGUGAAGGCCACACGUUAUGUUUCAAUAAACAAAAAGUCUGUAAUUUCACCAAUCGCUGGCUGUUUGCUUUGUCUCACUGUGACGUAAAUCGUCUCAGAUCGUGUGUGACCGGUGCGUCAUCGUUGUAGAAAGGUAUUUAUUCAAAUGUUUUCGAGAUUAAAGUUUGGUACUAUAUAAAGUCUGGCGCCGAGAUUAUCAGAGUAUCCGAGAGGACGGAAACAAUCAAAAGCCCCUUAACAAUGAAGAACUUGGCAUUACUUGUGUUGAUCGUGAUGGCGCUUCUAGCACUGAACUUUGCUGAAGGUAGACCUUCAUCAUCGUCGGAGGAAUCAUCAGAAGAAGUUAUAGCCACUACCAGAACCACAAGAUCGACCACUACACGUAGGGCUACCACACGUCCAACUACGACGACCCGUCGGACUA